UAAUAGUGUAUAUUAAAGUUGUUGCAGUUAAAAAGCUCGUAGUUGAAUGUUGGUGUCGAACGAGCGGUCAGCUUCGGCUGUACUGCUCUCUCGACUCCUUCCUUCUGUGGACUACGUCGCACUUUACUGUGUGGCGCUAGGACGCAGAUCGUUUACUGUGAAAAAAUUAGAGUGUUCAAAGCAGGCCGUACGCUUGAAUACAUUAGCAUGGAAUAAUGGAAUAGGACGUCGGGCCUAUUUUGUUGGUUCUAGGACCGUCGUAAUGAUUAAUAGGGACAGUUGGGGCCGUUUAUAUUCCGUAGUCAGAGGUGAAAUUCUUGGAUUUACGGAGGAUAAACUACUGCGAAAGCAUUCGGCAAGGAUGUUUUCGUUAA
rnacentral:rRNA from 1 species